UACGUAGGGUGCGAGCGUUGUCCGGAAUUAUUGGGCGUAAAGAGCUCGUAGGCGGUUUGUCGCGUCUGCUGUGAAAAUCCAGGGCUUAACCCUGGACCUGCAGUGGGUACGGGCAGACUGGAGUGCGGUAGGGGAGAUCGGAAUUCCUGGUGUAGCGGUGGAAUGCGCAGAUAUCAGGAGGAACACCAAUGGCGAAGGCAGAUCUCUGGGCCGUAACUGACGCUGAGGAGCGAAAGCAUGGGGAGCGAACAGG
rnacentral:rRNA from 1 species